UCUGGGUAACAAAUGUCCUUUAAUGUGUCUGUAUGCGUGCACAUGUGCGUGUGUGUGCUUGUGUCCCCAUCUCUGGGACUGACAGCGAGGGACAGUCAGUCGGUCGGUCGAGAGGAUUACACCUUUCAUCCUUUCACACACAGCUGCAAUCUCUGCUGAGUCAUCUGCCUACGUUACCAUGGUAACGGCUGGUAGUACUGUAGCAUGGGGGCGUCCAUCUGUCUGUACUGCGAGAGUACCGGCUGGGAAUUAAAUUCACUACCGAGCAGCUCCGGGAGGCAGGACGCUGCAUGGAUGAUGAAACUGGAGCAGGACCAAGUCACGACUUCUUUGCGAGGAAAGAUGGGACACAGAGCAAUGCGGAUUGUGUUUGAGCCUCAUGACAUUCAAUUAAACAGCUGUCUCUGGUAGGGAGAAAAACAUCAUGCUUGAUGUUACCAGAUAGACAGGGUAUACAGUAGGUAGAGGUAGGUGUAGAGGUAGGUGUAGAGGUAGGGGUAGAGGUAGGGUUACGGGUAGACAUAGAGGUAGGGGUAGGGGUAGAGGUAGGAGUAAAGGAAGGGGUAGAGGUAGGGUUAUGGGUAGAGAUAGAGGUAGGAGUAGAGGUAGCGGUAGAGGUAGGAGAAGAGGUAGAGAUAGAGGUAGAGGUAGGGUUAUGGGUAGAGGUAAGGUUAUGAGUGGAGGUAGAGGUAGGAGUAGAGGUAGGAGUAGAGGUAGGGGUAGGAGUAUACAUAGAGGUAGGGAUAGCAGUGGGGUAGAGGUAGAGAUAGGUGUAGGGGAAAAAGGUAAAGGUAUAAAUGGAAGUAGGGGUAGAGGUAGGGGGAGAGGUAUACAUAGAUGUAGAUAUAGCAGUGGGGUAGAGGUAGCGAUAGGUGUAGGGGUAAAGGUAUAAAUGGAGGAAGGGGUAGAGGUAGAGAUCAAGGUAGAGUUAGGGGUAGAGGUAGGGGUAAAGGUAUAAAUGGAGGUGGGGUAGAGGUAGGGAAGGAGUAGAGGUAGAAGUAGAUGUAGGGGUAGAGGUGAGGGUAUAGGUAGGGCUGAAGGUAGGGGUAGAGGUAGAGGUAGAGGUAGGGGUAGAGGUAGAGGUAUGUGCAGGGUUAGAUGUAGGAGUAGAGGUAUAAAUAGAGGUAGGGUUAGAGGUAGGGGCAGAGGCAUGGGUAGAGUUAGAUGUAAGGGUAGGGGUAGGCGUGAUUGUAGGGGUAGAGAUAGGGUAGAGGUAGAAGUAGGGUUUGAGGUGGGGGUAGAGGUAGGGGUAGGUAGAGGUAUAAAUAUAUGUAGGGAUAGAGGUAUGAUUAGAGGUAUAAAUAGAGGUAGGGUUAGAGGUAGGAUUAGAGAUAUAAAUAGAGGUAGGGUUAGAGGUAUAAAUAGAGGUAUAAAUAGAGGUAGGGAUAGAGGUAGGGAUAGAGGUAUGGGCAGAGGUAUGUGUAGAGUUAGAGGUAGAUGUAAGGGUAGAGGUAGAGGUAGGGGUGGGGGUAGGGGUAAAGGUAGGGGUAUAGUAUGAGAGAAACACUAUGUUCCAUUCCAUCAAAAGCAGUGUCUACUUCCUAAUCAGUGACGUAAUCAAAAUAAUUUGAAGACACAGUCCUGUCUUAGUUUGAUGAUUGUAGCUACCACUUACAGUAUAUACGUACAUGAAGCAAGAACAUGACUUGUGUCUUCAAAUUCAACCUGAUCAACGAAGGAUGAAGAACUAGGCCGGAGGCUGGUGGUGGGUCUGGUAGGCAUGAAUAACUUGAACCCACUGAUCCAGACAGCUGAGAAAACGCAACAGUGGCCAGAAUGGCCCCUGUGACCCCCACAGAGGACACAUACCUCAGACCACCCAGAGACACACACACACACACACACACACACACACACACACACACACACACACACACGUUACUCAGAAAGCCUCCAGGAUCCCUGGAAAAUGUAAA
rnacentral:lncRNA from 1 species